rnacentral:tRNA from 1 species
GCAUUGGUGGUUCAGUAGUAGAAUUCUCUACUCCCAUGUGGGAGACCUGGGUUUGAUUCCCAGUCAAUGCA